GAUGAACGCUGGCGGCGUGCCUAAUACAUGCAAGUCGAGCGAACAGACGAGGAGCUUGCUCCUCUGACGUUAGCGGCGGACGGGUGAGUAACACGUGGAUAACCUACCUAUAAGACUGGGAUAACUUCGGGAAACCGGAGCUAAUACCGGAUAAUAUAUUGAACCGCAUGGUUCAAUAGUGAAAGACGGUUUUGCUGUCACUUAUAGAUGGAUCCGCGCCGCAUUAGCUAGUUGGUAAGGUAACGGCUUACCAAGGCAACGAUGCGUAGCCGACCUGAGAGGGUGAUCGUCCCCCCUGGAACUGAGACACGGUCCAGACUCCUACGGGAGGCCGCAGUAGGGAAUCUUCCGCAAUGGGCGAAAGCCUGACGGAGCAACGCCGCGUGAGUGAUGAAGGUCUUCGGAUCGUAAAACUCUGUUAUUAGGGAAGAACAAAUGUGUAAGUAACUAUGCACGUCUUGACGGUACCUAAUCAGAAAGCCACGGCUAACUACGUG
rnacentral:rRNA from 1 species